UACAGAGGGUGCAAGCGUUAAUCGGAAUUACUGGGCGUAAAGCGUGCGUAGACGGUCAUGUAAGUCGGGUGUGAAAGCCCCGGGCUCAACCUGGGAAUUGCAUUCGAGACUGCAUGGCUAGGAUGCGGAAGAGGGAAGCGGAAUUUCCGGUGUAGCGGUGAAAUGCGCAGAUAUCGGAAGGAACACCAGUGGCGAAAGCGGCUUCCUGGUCCAGCAUCGACGUUCAGGCACGAAAGCGUGGGGAGCAAACAGG
rnacentral:rRNA from 1 species